GUGCUCACUUCCACAGCACGUCUUUUAAAAUGGAAGUGAUAUAGAGAAAAUGAAGAUGGUCCCUGUGCAAGGUUGACAUGCAAAUUUGCAAAGCAUUCUACAUUUUU